rnacentral:rRNA from 1 species
UGGGGAAUAUUGGACAAUGGGCGCAAGCCUGAUCCAGCCAUGCCGCGUGAGUGAUGAAGGCCCUAGGGUUGUAAAGCACUUUCGCUUGGGAACAAGAAAGACUGGCUAACAUCCAGUUAAUUUGAGGGUACCAGGUAAAGAAGCACCGGCUAACUCC